GCACGUCGAAUCGUGCAAUGCUCUUAUUAAUUAUGCAGCCACGCGUUGGCGCCAUGGCGGGUUGGGCAGGUAGUUACAUGCCCCUCUAUCAUUUCUAGCACCAUAUUUAAAAGGCGCACAGAUAGCCAUUCAUUCAUCGUGCCAGGACUUUAAGACUCAGAAAAUGUCUACGAGAAGGCAGCAACAAGCCCCCUGCUUCAGCGAUGCCUCCCUGAAGAUUCUCCUCCAGGCCAUCCAGGAAAGGUGGGACACCCUCUUUCCAAGGGAUGACAGCAGGAGGCCUAUUCAUCUGACCACGGUGGCCUGGGAGGAGAUCACUGGGGUGGUCAGUGUACAUGGGGCUCAAAAAAGACAAUGCAGGAAACGGAUGCAUGAUAUCAUCUAUGUCGCUAGGGAGAAGGCAGCCCACAACAGCAGGGAGAGAGAGAAGACGGGAGGUGGGAUGCCUGAGCUCAGAUCCCUCACUCAGUUUGAGCCGGAGACUGCUGAACUGGCAGGCAAGGAUUGAGACCAUGCCUCUACCAAUAGCAAGUUUAGGUGCUGGUAGGAAGAGGAAGAGGCCAGCCUCUGUCUCAGAAAUAAGCCCCAGUCCUUAGGAGACCUCAGAGGAAGACAACGAUGACUUCACAACUGUAGAGCUGUCACAGCUUUCACCUGCGCCCUCCACCGGCAGGUCAUAUAUCUAGUUUAGGUUCAGGGUCACACUCUGGUGGUCACCUCACAGCCAUGUGUCCACAGCAGGAGGAAGCAGUGACAGCCAAGGUCUUUGGCACUUGGAGGAUCAUUGGAGAAAAGGCACCUGCCAAGUCAGAGUGAGAUGAUGAGCCUCUGGAAGCGACCAAAGAAAAGUAUGCUAGAAAUUCAGAGAGACGCAUGGGAACAUCAGUUAGAGAUGUUAGAGGCCCUUAACAGAGUGGCACGAGAGAUGGAGGAGUCCAUUUCCGUGCUCCCUGAUUAUGUGGUUAUGGCAUGUGAGUACAUGGAAGUGUCCAAGUGGAAGAUGACGGAUACCAUGGAGACGCAAGUCCAGCAGUUUCUGCUAGAUAUGCGCUGAGACCUGUGCAUCAUUGCUGUAGUCAUGGCUGUGUUCCAGCAGUUGCUUGGCAUGAGGGGGAUGGGGCACCUUGACUUCCCUCCAGAUGCCCCUACCACUCAAGGAGUCAGGGAGGGGCCCUUGGGCAUUCAAAGAGAGGAGGGGGCAUCCACCCUGGACACUCUGCGGGUGUUGUGGCAUUCUCAAUCCCCUCUACCUGUGUCGCCUUCAGCUCCGCUGCAGAGGGUGCACCUGGCCCUGAACAGGAGACCCAGAGAAGACUGGGGCUUUCUGGGCCUCGGAUCUCCAGAGGACACCCGUGAAAGCCAUCGCAGACAAGAGGGCAUAGUAGUCAACAGGCUGCCUCCAACUCUGCUGUGGAUGUUGGGAACACACCCAGACAAAGAGGUAGAGUUAGAA